CGCGGAGCCGCCCUCGGCCGCCCGGAGCCCGGCCAGUGGUGCAGCGCCGCCGAGUGCGGCCUCGCGGGUGGCGACCGCGGGAGGAACCGGGAGAGCUCUUUCCCCUGGCGGAGCCGCGGUGCGUGAGGACUAGACCCCGAGCAAACUUUCUGGAGGCUUAGGCCUCGGGGUGGCGGUGCUCGGGACUGGCCGCAGCGGCUGCAGCAGCGGGCUGGGUCCCCUGACAGAUCCUCCUCCCGGGAGCAAGUGCCUACAGCCUGGAGUGUCGCGAGCUCCACGGCGAGCGGUUGGCAUCCUCUGGCCCUACAACACUCAGAAAACAUCUGCCGCAAGACUUGGAGUGUUAACUGCCACAGGACCAAGGUGGACUUGUCCAUGCUAUCAUCUACAAAAGAUGCCUAA
rnacentral:lncRNA from 1 species